rnacentral:rRNA from 1 species
GUAAUAGCUCACUGGUCGAGUCGGCCUGCGCGGAAGAUGUAACGGGGCUAAACCAUGCACCGAAGCUGCGGCAGCGACGCUGAUGCGUUGUUGGGUAGGGGAGCGUUCUGUAAGCCUGUGAAGGUGUGCUGUGAGGUAUGCUGGAGGUAUCAGAAGUGCGAAUGCUGACAUAAGUAACGAUAAAGCGGGUGAAAAGCCCGCUCGCCGGAAGACCAAGGGUUCCUGUCCAACGUUAAUCGGGGCAGGGUGAGUCGACCCCUAAGG